CCCAAGUCAGGAGGCUGGGAAGCAAAGCGUUCCCUGCGAGAGGAAUGUGAGGGCUGAAUGGCGGAGGACAGCCGGGGGAAGUUUGGGAGCAUGCUUGGCCACCGGGCAACUUACUUCACCCAGUUUUCAGUGUGAUUGUGGGAAAGGCGGAUCCACUCUUCUUUCAUGCCUCAUAAGCUUCAUCGCUGUCAGACUAACAUAACAGAUAAGCAAGACCCUGGAGGAGGACUCUCUUGCCUGGAAAAGUAUACUGAGACAUCUCAAAUAGGAGGGGGCUGAUUACUAGCAUAUAUUGGGACUGAUCUACAUUACUGCUUAAAUCAACCUAACUUACAUCGCUCAAGGGUGUGAAAAAGAUACCUCCCGAGCAACACAAGUGACAGUGACCUAAGCACUG